rnacentral:rRNA from 1 species
CAGUCGCGUUCUCUGGGAUUCAGCCGAAAGGUGUACUCGUACGGUUGCAGGCUAGAGUCUGUUCUUGGGGUCGGAUAAGGGUCUUGGGAAUGUGGCCGGUUCGCCGGUGUUAAGCCCUGGACUUGAUACGGCUCUGGGGACAGAGGACCGCAGCGCGCCUUCUUGGCAUUGGCUUCGGCCUUUUCCGCGCUAAGGAUUCUGGCUUAAUGGCUUUAAGCGACCCGUCUUGAAACACGACCAAGGAGUCUAACAUAUGUGCGAGUGUUU